UUAAGUAGACCGCCUGGGGAGUACGGCCGCAAGGUUAAAACUCAAAUGAAUUGACGGGGGCCCGCACAAGCGGUGGAGCAUGUGGUUUAAUUCGAUGCAACGCGAAGAACCUUACCUGGUCUUGACAUCCACAGAAGAAUCCAGAGAUGGAUUUGUGCCUUCGGGAACUGUGAGACAGGUGCUGCAUGGCUGUCGUCAGCUCGUGUUGUGAAAUGUUGGGUUAAGUCCCGCAACGAGCGCAACCCUUAUCCUUUGUUGCCAGCGGUCCGGCCGGGAACUCAAAGGAGACUGCCAGUGAUAAACUGGAGGAAGGUGGGGAUGACGUCAAGUCAUCAUGGCCCUUACGACCAGGGCUACACACGUGCUACAAUGGCGCAUACAAAGAGAAGCGACCUCGCGAGAGCAAGCGGACCUCAUAAAGUGCGUCGUAGUCCGGAUUGGAGUCUGCAACUCGACUCCAUGAAGUCGGAAUCGCUAGUAAUCGUGGAUCAGAAUGCCACGGUGAAUACGUUCCCGGGCCUUGUACACACCGCCCGUCACACCAUGGGAGUGGGUUGCAAAAGAAGUAGGUAGCUUAACCUUCGGGAGGGCGCUUACCACUUUGUGAUUCAUGACUGGGGUGAAGUCGUAACAAGGUAACCGUAGGGGAACCUGCGGUUGGAUCACCUCCUUACCUGAAAGAAGC
rnacentral:rRNA from 1 species